CAAAAGUUAAAAAGAAUUGGGGGGAAAGUAUUGAAAAAAAGGAGGGGGUAGGGCAAAGCCACCUUGUGGUGUUGGCAAAUAUGCCUAGGUUUCAGUCCACAUGUUGUAAAAUCGUCUUAGAUUUGAGGUUUCAGGGCAAUUAUAUAAAGGCAUCCAAAGUGAGGAGUAUUGGCCUGUCCCUGCUCAGCUUUGGGAGAUUAACAGGUGGGAGGGAAGGGGCCAAUCAGAGACUGAAUUCUCAGAGUCUUCUCUAUGGUCCAGCCAAUCCCAGGCUAUGGAGUCAACGGCCUCUAAGAAAAAGGUAGCAGUUGGUGCCUGCCGACAAGCCGUUACUUUCCCAGCAUCAUAACAGAAGAACCUUACCCGUGAGCCUUGGAGAUGAUAGGCAGAGGGUUUGAGCAUAGUGGUUAUAGAUUGACAAGAUAGAGGUCAUGGAGCAGGUCAUGAGGCCAGGUGGAGUAACAAAGAAAACACUAAUCAUGUCUACUAUGAUAUGUGGAGGCAUUGCUUUACUUUUGUGGGCAAUGUUAAGAUUUCCUAUAAAAAGUUCAAGAUUGAAGGUGGUGGAAUGUGUGCCUUCAUGUUUCAAAAGAACAUCAGCAGUGCCAAUUGCGAUAAGUCAAUGAAAUACAUAUGUGGCAGAGAAUCCUUUUGUCCUUAGAUAAAGAGUUCCCCUGUAAUAGAGCAAAUAAAGUAAUUAAAGAAAAA